GGGGAAUAUUGCACAAUGGGCGAAAGCCUGAUGCAGCAACGCCGCGUGAGUGAUGAAGGUCUUCGGAUUGUAAAGCUCUGUCUUUUGGGACGAUAAUGACGGUACCAAAGGAGGAAGCCACGGCUAACUACGUGCCAGCAGCCGCGGUAAUACGUAGGUGGCGAGCGUUGUCCGGAUUUACUGGGCGUAAAGGGUGCGUAGGCGGAUGUUUAAGUGAGAUGUGAAAUACCCGGGCUUAACUUGGGUGCUGCAUUUCAAACUGGAUAUCUAGAGUGCAGGAGAGGAGAAUGGAAUUCCUAGUGUAGCGGUGAAAUGCGUAGAGAUUAGGAAGAACACCAGUGGCGAAGGCGAUUCUCUGGACUGUAACUGACGCUGAGGCACGAAAGCGUGGGUAGCAAACAGGAUUAGAUACCCUGGUAGU
rnacentral:rRNA from 1 species